CGUGGUGAUGAUAAAGAUGAAAAGUGUUGAGUGUUUACUGAAUCUCCUGAGACUUUGCUCAAUGUUUAUGGUUUGCCAAGAAUAGAAACCUUAGAAGUCUAUGUGUGGAGAUAGGUAUGCCUAUGCUUAAGCCAAUCAUUGUUUUUGAAGUCAGGGACCCAUAAGAGAUCCCAUAGGGUGCAGUUGGAGCUGAGUUUGUAACAGUUUCAGGUGAUUAAUGGUAGAUUUGGCAUUGUUGGAGCUACCGAGGUAUUGUGGGAGGUCGAAAGAGCUCGGGAAGUCUUAAAAAUCAAGGGUUUUGCAAGUGUUUUGAAAAGAAAAGGUAGAUAAUUGGUACG